UACAGAGGGUGCGAGCGUUAAUCGGAAUUACUGGGCGUAAAGCGUGCGUAGACGGUUAUGUAAGUCGGGUGUGAAAGCCCCGGGCUCAACCUGGGAAUUGCAUUCGAGACUGCAUAGCUAGGAUGCGGAAGAGGGAAGCGGAAUUUCCGGUGUAGCGGUGAAAUGCGUAGAUAUCGGAAGGAACAUCAGUGGCGAAAGCGGCUUCCUGGUCCAGCAUCGACGUUCAGGCACGAAA
rnacentral:rRNA from 1 species